rnacentral:lncRNA from 1 species
UUAGAAUGAUUUAUACUUAUUUCAUACCUUUUUAAAAAAUUAAAUUUAUGUGUUUCACCCUAAAACAAGAGAAUAUGCCUAUUUUUAAUGAAUACUUUUAUUGACUUAAAUUGUCAUUUAUUGAUAUUUGAGUUUUUUUAUAAUAUGAAAUUCUAAAAUAUAUUAUGCUGAUUUCAAAAUAUGUUGUUUAAAAAAAUGACAAUCAAAAAAAGAAAUAAAGAAAAUGACCGCUUUUUAUAGACAAAGAUGGGUUAAAGUUAUGAAAAAUAAA